GACGAAGGAUGCAAGCGUUAUCCGGAUUCAUUGGGUUUAAAGGGAGCGUAGGUGGUCUACUAAGUCAGUGGUGAAAUCUCUCGGCUUAACUGAGAAAUUGCCAUUGAUACUGGUGGACUUGAGUGUAGUUCCGUUGGCGGAAUAUGACAUGUAGUGGUGAAAUACAUAGAGAUGUCAUAGAACACCGAUUGCGAAGGCAGCUGACGAAACUAUAACUGACACUGAGGCUCGAAAGUGCGGGGAUCAAACAGG
rnacentral:rRNA from 1 species